GGUGAGUAAUACCUUAUACGCCCUUCGGGGAAAGAUUUAUCGGAGAAGGAUCGGCCCGCGUUAGAUUAGAUAGUUGGUGGGGUAACGGCCUACCAAGUCUACGAUCUAUAGCUGGUUUUAGAGGAUGAUCAGCAACACUGGGACUGAGACACGGCCCAGACUCCUACGGGAGGCAGCAGUGGGGAAUCUUGGACAAUGGGCGCACGUGAUCCAGCCAUGCCGCGUGAGUGACGAAGGCCUUAGGGUCGUAAAGCUCUUUCGCCAGGGAUGAUAAUGACAGUACCUGGUAAAGAAACCCCGGCUAACUCCGUGCCAGCAGCCGCGGUAAUACGGAGGGGGUUAGCGUUGUUCGGAAUUACUGGUCGUAAAGAGCGCGUAGGGGAUUGGAAAGUUGGGGGUGAAAUCCCGGGGCUCAACCCCGAACUGCCUCCAAAACUAUCAGUCUAGAGUUCGAGAGAGGUGAGUGGAAUUCCAAGUGUAGAGGUGAAAUUCGUAGAUAUUUGGAGGAACACCAGUGGCGAAGCGGCUCACUGGCUCGAUACUGACGCUGAGGUGCGAAAGUGUGGGGAGCAAACAGGAUUAGAUACCCUGGUAGUCCACACCGUAAACGAUGAAUGCCAGACGUCG
rnacentral:rRNA from 1 species